UUACAAAUUAUGAUUUCUAACUGAUACAGAAUGAAUAUUGAGUGAUAGCAUAUUUGAAUCUUCAAAUUAUAGAUACUAUGUGAAAAUUUGGUAUUCUUUGAUUGAACAAAAUGGAAUGGAUAAUAGCCCUUGGAAGGGUCAUAAACUGCACUAGUUAAAUAGGCAAAAUAAGUUAAUACAAAAUUAUAAUUCAGAAAAUAGAAUAAAUGAAUAGUUAAAAUUAUUAUCAGGGUGGGGUUUCUCCCAAGGAAAAUAGACCUUUUGGCUAAGUACAGUGUGGAUAUUUAAAUUUAUUUAAUACAAUAAAAAUCAUUUAUGAUAACUUUAUACCCUUAACCCUUAACUGGUAUGGUCGGGUCAAAACUGACCCAGCCGACUACACUUUCUUAUCUUUUGCAGGAAUAAUCCUGUCGAUCGCCCUCUCCCCCCUUGUAUUCUCCUACUUCCGCCACCACUACAAAUUGCCAGUAUGCUCUAACUGCUCAUGCGUGUAGUUUGCGAUUUAUUAGCGUUUUGGGUCAGUUUUGACCCAGCCAUACCGUUUUUUUGGAGAUGGACUCAUACUCUAUGACAUAAAAGCACAGAAGAGACUUUUGUUCAACAGGAUGUAUUUUUUUUAUUUUUUCAAAAAUAGUAUUGCACAUUCUUGACAUGCUUCAGAUUUUUUCAACAUAAAUAUUUUUUAAACUGUAAUUUCAUAUUGUAAAUGGUCUUGGAACAACAAGUAGACUAUGUUCUUAUUUGAUUUUAAAUAUAAAUACUUAAUUAUA